rnacentral:rRNA from 1 species
AUUGAACGCUGGCGGCAGGCCUAACACAUGCAAGUCGAGCGGAUGAAGGGAGCUUGCUCCUGGAUUCAGCGGCGGACGGGUGAGUAAUGCCUAGGAAUCUGCCUGGUAGUGGGGGAUAACGUCCGGAAACGGGCGCUAAUACCGCAUACGUCCUGAGGGAGAAAGUGGGGGAUCUUCGGACCUCACGCUAUCAGAUGAGCCUAGGUCGGAUUAGCUAGUUGGUGGGGUAAAGGCCUACCAAGGCGACGAUCCGUAACUGGUCUGAGAGGAUGAUCAGUCACACUGGAACUGAGACACGGUCCAGACUCCUACGGGAGGCAGUAGUGGGGAAUAUUGGACAAUGGGCGAAAGCCUGAUCCAGCCAUGCCGCGUGUGUGAAGAAGGUCUUCGGAUUGUAAAGCACUUUAAGUUGGGAGGAAGGGCAGUAAGUUAAUACCUUGCUGUUUUGACGUUACCAACAGAAUAGGCACCGGCUAACUUCGUG